rnacentral:rRNA from 2 species
GUGCUUGCACUGAUUUCACAAUGAAGCGAGUGGCGAACUGGUGAGUAACACGUGGGGAAUCUGCCCAGAAGCAGGGGAUAACACUUGGAAACAGGUGCUAAUACCGUAUAACAACAAAAUCCGCAUGGAUUUUGUUUGAAAGGUGGCUUCGGCUAUCACUUCUGGAUGAUCCCGCGGCGUAUUAGUUAGUUGGUGAGGUAAAGGCCCACCAAGACGAUGAUACGUAGCCGACCUGAGAGGGUAAUCGGCCACAUUGGGACUGAGACACGGCCCAAACUCCUACGGGAGGCAGCAGUAGGGAAUCUUCCACAAUGGACGAAAGUCUGAUGGAGCAAUGCCGCGUGAGUGAAGAAGGGUUUCGGCUCGUAAAACUCUGUUGUUAAAGAAGAACACCUUUGAGAGUAACUGUUCAAGGGUUGACGGUAUUUAACCAGAAAGCCACGGCUAACUACGUGCCAGCAGCCGCGGUAAUACGUAGGUGGCAAGCGUUGUCCGGAUUUAUUGGGCGUAAAGCGAGCGCAGGCGGUUUUUUAAGUCUGAUGUGAAAGCCUUCGGCUUAACCGGAGAAGUGCAUCGGAAACUGAGAGACUUGAGUGCAGAAGAGGACAGUGGAACUCCAUGUGUAGCGGUGGAAUGCGUAGAUAUAUGGAAGAACACCAGUGGCGAAAGCGGCUGUCUAGUCUGUAACUGACGCUGAGGCUCGAAAGCAUGGUAGCGAACAGGAUUAGAUACCCUGGUAGUCCAUGCCGUAACGAUGAGUGCUAAGUGUUGGAGGGUUUCCGCCCUCAGUGCUGCAGCUACGCAUAGCACUCGCCUGGGAGUACGACGCAGUGAACUCAAGGAUGACGGGGCCGCACAGCGGUGGAGCAUGUGAUAUCCGAGCUACGCGAGAACUUAACAGUCUUGGACAUCUUUCUGGCCAAAUCUUUAGAGUUCUG